rnacentral:rRNA from 1 species
AGCGAACGCUGGCGGCAGGCUUAGCACAUGCAAGUCGAACGCCCGUAGCAAUACGGGAGUGGCAGACGGGUGAGUAACGCGUGGGAACAUGCCCUUCGGUUCGGAAUAACUCAGGGAAACUUGAGCUAAUACCGGAUACGCCCUUGGGGGGAAAGAUUUAUUGCCGAAGGAUUGGCCCGCGUCCGAUUAGCUAGUUGGUGAGGUAAUGGCUCACCAAGGCGACGAUCGGUAGCUGGUCUGAGAGGAUGAUCAGCCACACUGGGACUGAGACACGGCCCAGACUCCUACGGGAGGCAGCAGUGGGGAAUAUUGGACAAUGGGCGCAAGCCUGAUCCAGCCAUGCCGCGUGAGUGAUGAAGGCCCUAGGGUUGUAAAGCUCUUUCGCCAGGGACGAUAAUGACGGUACCUGGAUAAGAAGCCCCGGCUAACUUCGUGCCAGCCGCCGCGGUAAUAC